UCCUGGUGGAUCCGUCCAAACCAUCUCUAUACCGUCUUGGAGGGACCGAAGUUCGCCUAGCACGAUCCAUACUGCAAUCAAGAUUUCCAGCAGGAAUCCUCAGCAAGAAAAACACUCCUUGAAGUCUGGAACCAGGAAAGAGGCCGAAUCCACAGCAACAGGACCCUAUAAAGACCCACUAGGGGGCCCUCCACUGUCAAAAUCCACAUUCCUGUGCAGAUCUGGCUGUGUGGAACGGUAGAUAGAGAUUGAGUGUACUAGUACAGUUACAUCUAGGAGGACAAACGUGGAUGAAGUGCCACUGCCUGAGGGAAAAGAAACUCUGGAAGAAGAAUCACCCAUCAAGGAGGAUAACCCUUCUCCUCCCAAAAGAAAGUCCACAUUGCUGCUCAUGAAUUUGCUGGGACAGUUUUUCACUGACACUGAAGGUACAAUAGAACCCAAGACCCCCUAUGCCAAGGCUGAAGAGGAAAUAGAGAAAUAUUGUAAAGCCCCAUCUCUGCCUCUCACUGAAGACCCUUUGAACUGGUGGCAUGUACAUGAGGUCAUAUUUCCCCUCCUCUCUCAUUUGUCAAAGCAAUACUUGUGUAUCCCAGGUACAAGCGUGUCUGCAGAGCGGGUUUUCUCCACUGCAGGAGAUGUGGUAACGGCAAAAAGAAGCACCCUCAAACCAGAGCAUGUGGAUCAACUUGUGUUCUUACAGAAAAACCUACAUAUUCCAUAAUUCUGAGUAGUGAUUCAGGUUUAUAUUAAUAUAUUUAAUGUUUUUUGGCACAUCCAGAAGAAAGUGCUGUGUGCCCCACUGCCCAGUGCAGACUACUGUUAAGUUAUUUUAUAUUUGUUAAAGUUAUAUAGCUUUAUAGCUUUUUGAAAAAUGAAGCUUAAAACCUUGAGUAAAUCUUUGUUGGAUCACAAAAUAUACUAGUACACUACACGACACGACCGACCACGUCACUCACUGUCACAGUCACACAAACAAUACAAAAGAAACAACACACAACUGCACACACCUCAUGUGUGCGUGUCAGUGUCACCCUUCACCAUGAUUCACUCUUUUUAUGAUGUGUGGUUUUUUGGUAUUGUGUGACUGUGUGUG